rnacentral:rRNA from 1 species
UGGGGAAUAUUGGACAAUGGGCGAAAGCCUGCUCCAGCCAUGCCGCGUGUGUGAAGAAGGUCUUCGGAUUGUAAAGCACUUUAAGUUGGGAGGAAGGGCAGUUACCUAAUACGUGAUUGUUUUGACGUUACCGACAGAAUAAGCACCGGCUAACUCUGUGCCAGCAGCCGCGGUAAUACAGAGGGUGCAAGCGUUAAUCGGAAUUACUGGGCGUAAAGCGCACGCAGGCGGUUUGUUAAGUCAGAUGUGAAAUCCCCGCGCUUAACGUGGGAACUGCAUUCAAAACUGACGAGCUAGAGUAUGGUAGAGGGUGGUGGAAUUUCCUGUGUAGCGGUGAAAUGCGUAGAUAUAGGAAGGAACACCAGUGGCGAAGGCGACCACCUAGACUGAUACUGACACUGAGGUGCGAAAGCGUGGGGAGCAAACA